UCAAAGCAAGGAAGAGCCACAGAAC
rnacentral:piRNA from 1 species